rnacentral:rRNA from 1 species
GAUGAACGCUGGCGGUCUGCUUAACACAUGCAAGUCGAACGAACUCUUCGGAGUGAGUGGCGGACGGGUGAGUAACGCGUGAGAAUCUGCCUGUGGGUCGGGGACAACCACUGGAAACGGUGGCUAAUACCGGAUGAGCCGAAAGGUAAAAGAUUUAUUGCCCACAGAUGAGCUCGCGUCUGAUUAGCUAGUUGGUAAGGUAAAAGCGUACCAAGGCGACGAUCAGUAGCUGGUCUGAGAGGAUGAGCAGCCACACUGGGACUGAGACACGGCCCAGACUCCUACGGGAGGCAGCAGUGGGAAUUUUCCGCAAUGGGCGAAAGCCUGACGGAGCAAGACCGCGUGGGGGAGGAAGGUUUUUGGAUCGUAAACUUCUAUCAGCAGGGAAGAUAGUGACAGUACCUGACUAAGAAGCCCCCG